GAAUGUGCAGAAGCAAGGAAGAAAAAUGGAGGACAUUUGUUUCAUCAAACUUACCUUUAUUGGAAGGUAAUAUGCUUUAUUUAAUAUCAAUCCUUGUAGUAGAGUACUUAGAUUACCAAUAUAGGUGGAAAUUUAGGACAUUGAGCCGGAAUUUAAUGCGAUAUUUCGACAUAAAGUUUGUGCUUUUGCUUUGCACGUGUUGGCUUAAAAUAUUAUGGGCGAUUGUCAAACUUUAAUAAACUGUGUUUUAAUUCAAAAUUAUUGUCGACCAAGUGAGUAAAAAGACUAACUAAGAUCUAGGAUUGUUUAAGUUGUCGAAAAAAGUUGUUAUCUCUGAGUUUUUGCCGAAAAUGUUUAUAUAAAUGCCGUAUACAGAGACGAGGUGCUUGGUGGGACGAAUAUAAUUUCAUCAGCUUGUACAUUUCAAUCUUGCGAUCAUUAAUAUGCAGAAAAAGCCUUGCUUUAGCAACAUUACAACGUAUUUGAUUCUUGCUUGCAAAACAAAGUUAAUUAGUUACAAAUAAAACUAUUUUUAAGUGAAAAUUGCUACAAUAUAAAGGCAAAAUCCAGAAUAAUUGUGUUUCUUGACGUCACUGCAGGCAGGUGCGGUCAUAGGUAGCUGGCGCUUCUCUGUAAGCGUGCUAAUAAGAUUAAGUUACUAAUGAGAACGAGGCUCCAAGACCAAGGCGUAUAUGUGACGUGAUUAUGAAAGGGGUAUUUGUCGGCAUUUUUCUGAUAAAUUUUGAAUAUUACAAAAAAUAUGCGGUUCAGGUUUCAUAUCCUGAAGAAAGUAGGAUAGGUAGGUCGAAUAAAACAAAUUUUCUUCAAAUAUUCCUUGGCUUGACAUUGGUCAGCAAUUGCCGUGAUCAGUUUGCAUAUUGCCACAACAUAUAAACAUUUCAAGAAGCAAGAUUAACUGUGGGCAACAGACAGUAUUUUUGGCAUCUAGUUUCGUCAUAAAGCAAACAACAAAAAUAGGACAUUACAAAAAAUAAUAAAAUAUGCGGUUCAGGUUUCAUAUUCUGACGAGCACAAAUUUUCUUCAAUAUUUUUCAAAUGGCUUGACAUUGGUCAGCAAUUACGGCAAUGCCAACUGAUCACAGCAAUUGCUGACCAAUGUCAAUUAGCCAAAAAAUAUUGAAGAAAAUUUGUGCUCUUCAGAAUAUGAAACCUGAACCGCAUAUUUUAUUAUUUUAUGGCUUGUUUCCCAACCAUAUCUAGAAAAAAAAAAGAGGAAAGAAAAUAGUGUUGACUGGAAAACGGAACCACAGGAUAUUGUUUUGUUUCAGACUCUGAUGUUUCAUCUCGCUAGCCUAGUUAUUCACACCAUCAGUAAAAUUCUCAUAAAUUUUGUAGAUGUACAGUGCAAAUUCCAAGAAUGUUGCAAGACCUCAUAAUUAUGAAAAAUGGACACAUUCCAAGAUCCUAAAUAAGAGGUAAAUGAUUUUUCUUCUAAUUAUUUCUAACCUCCUUGUAUUUCUUGAACAAUUUUCUUUGUAAUAUAUUAAUUUGUUUCAUGUUCUCAAUAGUGAGUUUUUUAAUUUUCUAGAUGUGUGUUGCAAUUUUAAAGAAUGUCUCCAGUUGUUGGCUGAAGUGGUCUUGAUCACAAAAAUGGACACCGUCAUUGGAAAGUAUAUAAAAGGUCUUAAUAUUUUCCUGUCUUAUCUUACAUGAAAUGUUUUGAACAUUAUAUGAUUACCUGUGAUCAAUAGUUUCAAAAAUUCCAGAAUAUUGCAAAAAUAGCAUGAUCAUAAUACUUAUGACACAAAAUACAACAAAAAUAAUAAACACAAUCUUUAUACCUAAAAAUGGCAAGUGGACAAUAGUUGCACUCUUUUUAUUCUAUUAUUACAGCACUAUUUCGACUUGUAUUAAUUUGGAAAAUUUUGGUUUUGUGGUUCCUCAAUUACGGUACUUGAUUAAGUUUUGUGUUGCCACUGAUCACAGAAAGUCUAUAAUUUUCAAAGCAUAUAAGCAUUUCAUGAGCAAGCCAGAAAUUGACAAACUGUCAAAAAUUUUGUUUAACAGUGAUGAUUUGGUUUGGAUAUGCAUUUUUUUUCUGUUUGGCACAAUAGCUAAAUCUUAAAG
rnacentral:lncRNA from 1 species